rnacentral:precursor_RNA from 1 species
GCUGGAGUGAGAAGAUCCCAUGCUGUGACCCUCUAGAGGGAAGCACUUUCUGUUGUCUGAAAGAAACCAAAGCGCUUCCCUUUGGAGCGUUACGGUUUGAGAAACUCAAUGUUGAAGUU